AAUAAACCUCCUUCGACCAUUUACAACCCUAGACGGACUCAUCUCAUACAUCGCCUACAUAGUAAACAGGCCAAUAUUUUAUUACUUUUUUACGUGACUGUACUGUCAUUCCCUUCUGUCAUGUCAUUGAGUGCAUGAAAAAGUGUGGCAACAUGGUAGGUGACCUUGUGUGUCGUUUUUAGUCGACCUUUGUAAUUUCUGCACACGUUUAAA